UACGAAGGGGGCUAGCGUUGCUCGGAAUCACUGGGCGUAAAGGGUGCGUAGGCGGGUCUUUUAAGUCAGGGGUGAAAUCCCAGAGCUCAACUCUGGAACUGCCUUUGAUACUGGGUGUCUUGAGUCCGGAAGAGGUGAGUGGAAUUCCGAGUGUAGAGGUGAAAUUCGUAGAUAUUCGGAGGAACACCAGUGGCGAAGGCGGCUCACUGGUCCGGUACUGACGCUGAGGUGCGAAAGCGUGGGGAGCAAACAGG
rnacentral:rRNA from 1 species